rnacentral:rRNA from 1 species
UGGGGAAUAUUGCACAAUGGAGGGAACUCUGAUGCAGCGACGCCGCGUGAACGAAGAAGGCUUUCGAGUCGUAAAGUUCUUUUAUAUGGGAAGAUAAUGACGGUACCAUAAGAAAAAGCCCCGGCUAACUACGUGCCAGCAGCCGCGGUAAUACGUAGGGGGCUAGCGUUGUCCGGAAUCACUGGGCGUAAAGGGUUCGCAGGCGGAAAUGCAAGUCAGGUGUAAAAGGCAGUAGCUUAACUACUGUAAGCAUUUGAAACUGCAUAUCUUGAGAAGAGUAGAGGUAAGUGGAAUUUUUAGUGUAGCGGUGAAAUGCGUAGAUAUUAAAAAGAAUACCGGUGGCGAAGGCGACUUACUGGGCUCAUUCUGACACUGAGGUACAAAAGCGUGGGUAGCAAACAGG